CCUACGGGGGGCUGCAGUAGGGAAUCUUCGGCAAUGGACGAAAGUCUGACCGAGCAACGCCGCGUGAGUGAAGAAGGUUUUCGGAUCGUAAAACUCUGUUGUUAGAGAAGAACAAGGAUGAGAGUAACUGUUCAUCCCUUGACGAUAUCUAACCAGAAAGCCACGGCUAACUACGUGCCAGCAGCCGCGGUAAUACGUAGGUGGCAAGCGUUGUCCGGAUUUAUUGGGCGUAAAGCGAGCGCAGGCGGUUUCUUAAGUCUGAUGUGAAAGCCCCCGGCUCAACCGGGGAGGGUCAUUGGAAACUGGGAGACUUGAGUGCAGAAGAGGAGAGUGGAAUUCCAUGUGUAGCGGUGAAAUGCGUAGAUAUAUGGAGGAACACCAGUGGCGAAGGCGGCUCUCUGGUCUGUAACUGACGCUGAGGCUCGAAAGCGUGGGGAGCAAACAGGAUUAGAUACCCCAGUAGUC
rnacentral:rRNA from 1 species